GUGGAGGCAAUAGCCAUACCGGUGGUACAGAGUCUACAGACCAAAUCAUGUGGCUUUUGUUACUUUUAGCCCACUGUGCCAGGUCAUGAGCUACUUUAUUCGCUGUUCGAGUAACAUACAGGAAAGAUACAGAUUGAAAUUUAGUAAUUAGGGUUCAUGAGCUACUUUAUUUGCGGUUCGAGUAACAUACAGGAAAGAUACAGAUUGAAAUUUAGUAAUUAGGGUUUUGAUAUCUUGAAAGAGAACGCGAGUUCUUUGAUCCCCUAAGAAAGUCUUCAUAUUGAUUUGUUCUACUAUCGUUGCCGCAUCACUUUCAACAAUGAUCUUGUCUUUCUUCUUCUCCCAAGUGCAUUUUAAAGCAUCUCUGAUGGCCCUUGUCUCUGCUUCCUCUGCUGAAAAACAAACAAGAGAUACAAUUCCAGAUUGGGGUUUUAGGGUUGCUCAACAACAUUGAUUGCGCUCGAGCAAAGAUUGCCACUGGUUCCUCCAAUUUCUUUUCAUGCACAAUUUCUUUUCAUGCUUGUCCAGAUUGACCACAUCAGGCAGGCAAUUUUUGGGAAGAGAUCAUCUCUAUCAGAGGAAUCUACAUAAGAUAAAAUCCGAUAUAUGGAUACGCUUAUGAAGAAUUUCAUUUACUGGUAUGACACCUUUCAGCGCUUUCCAGACAAAUAGCUUCACCCUAGCAGAUAUUUUCCCAAGCAAUCAGGUGGAGCUUCCUAAUACUUGAAUCUGGGUCUUCUCCCCACCAGUAUCUGUUUAGAAAUGGAGUUAACCAGCAACUAAUUCUCUUCUGCACCGCAGUUAGGAGAGACAGAUGGGUUUUGGUUUUAGACCUUAAGAUUGCGAUAGGAGCUCCUAAAUAUUUUUCGCCAAGAGUGAGGUAACCUUUUAUCGCAUGAAAAUCAGGAAUGGUUGCUUUUGUAAACAGAAGACUGUCGUCAGCGAACAACAGAUGACUAAUUUGAGAAGCAGAACCAAACUUUAUGCCAUGAAUCAGGUGGGAUCCUUUGUCCACAUGGACAAGAAAUGGUAAGAUUUAUGCAAGUUCUCCACACCAGGGAUAAGGGAGACCAAGAUGGGAGAAUGAUCAGAACUUAAGCGAGGGAGGUGGAGGGUAUGUGUACGAGGAAAAGCAGUCUCCCACACCAUUCACAAUUGCACGAUCAAGUCUACCCAUUACUAGGUUAUCACCAUCUUGUUUGUUUUUCCAUGUAAAGUCAGGACCAGAAAACGGCAUGUCUCUAAGAUCCCACAGGUUCAUCACAUUUUCCAAAUGUUUAGUAUCAGAAUCAGUAAUUGGUCUUUCCCCCCACUUAUCUUGUUGUUGAAGCAUGCAGUUUAGAUCCCCCACCACGAUAGUAGGAAUUGAGAGAUCAUGGUUUAAGAAGUUUCUCCAACUGGUAGCUCUCAAACUUUUAUUUGGUUCCCCAUACACAAAAAACAAAUUGCAUACUGUGUUAGCUUUAAUAGAAUUGG